rnacentral:lncRNA from 1 species
UUCUUGCUACUUUAUAGGCCCAAAACCUAGCAAAAUCUUGUAUUUCCCUCCGCGGAUUCAUCUGAAAUCUAGCUCUGAAAUCUAGCAGAUUCAUAAUUCUUCUUGACUUUUCAAUUCUCGUUAAUGAACUUCUCAACAAGAAAAGAAAGAAUUGAAUAUGGAUAAAGAAGUCCGAAGGACUGAUUGAUGCUACCGCCUUAACUACGGCUACUGCAACAACGGAAAGGGAUGCCUAAUCCUCAGGUCUCGUCUUCAUGAAAGGCGUGUCCUAGUCGAAUGAAAGAAUGCUGGCCUAUCAAAGAAAGAUCUCAUUCUCAAUUCUGAGACCCCUAUUAGUCCCCUAUGUUCCGAGGCUAGUCCUCCCCGUUCUCGAUCGAUUGAUACUGGACGGUGGGUGACCGCCUUAUCCGACCCCUGUACAUUAGUCGAUUUUCAUCCAUCGGUCAAAGUCAAAGAAAACCCAUUCUUCACAGGUUCACCAAAAAGAGAGGCAUUUCACCGCCUCAUCAAUAUUGUGAGAUUCAAAUAAAUUAGGCUUGAUUUGAUAUUGGUCAUUCUCGAGCUUACCACCGAGCGAUCGAAGGACGGAUUCAACCUCUCAUGCCCUAGCCUGCUGUUCCGAUUUCAAUGGCACCUACUUAACGGAUGAACUCAAGAAAGAAGAUUUCCGCUUUCUUUUAUGCAUCGCACCUCUGUUCUCGCUAUGUGCCUAUUUUAGUAGAAUGAAUUCCCUUGAACCAAUAUCCGAAGUUGCAGGCUCCCAUAAGACAGAGAUAUUCUUUGCCUUCCACUAAAAAACUUGUUUAUCCACUAUCGUAGGCCUUCUUCAAUUCAAUGGGGACCCUAGUGUACGAGCCUAAUGCUCUUUAUUUGCUUCUGCCGAUUCCCCGCUUGGAUCAGACAAGGCGGUAGAAGUUUGACGGAUAGUCAAGGAUCCCUCUUUCUGAAAGUAUGUCAAGAGCAUACUUGAGCUCAGAAAGACACACACCAUGCUAUCAUUGAUCUACUGAAAUGCCAAGUCUGGAAAUCUUGUUAAGAAAUGAUGCCCACUACGCGGUUGCGGCUCUUGAGCUGAGCCAGUUUCGAUUCUAGCCGUUCUUGAUUUCGAUAGGGAAUGAAAGGCCUAAUAACCUUGAACUGGUCGAAAGGAUUGAUGUAUUUCCAAGUCAAAAGAGAAAUCACGCUAUUCAAGCUGAUCGAAACUAAGCCAAAGACUUCAACGCGAACAAGAGCGAGGGCCUAUCCGGGAACAACCUGUCCUCCGCUCUCGCAAUAUUCUUUGCUCCUUACUAUUUUUGCGUAUAUACCCUUGUUUUUCUUCCGCGCCUACUCCGAUCAUUCUUUGAGCCUCCGUAGGUCCUCUCUUUCUAGGUCAAUGCAAAUUCAGGCUCAAGAUGAGAUUCUUUCUUUUUCCAUAUUAACUUCUUAAUGGUAUACAAGAAAAGGAUGGUAAAAUAAUGGUAUACAUGGAUGAAAUAAGCCAAAGGCUAGAGGGUCAUGAAUAAGGCGUGAAAUUCCCUACCACUGUGAUCUAGCAACUUCUACUGCAACUAAGACUUAUGAAAGCGACCGCUGCCACAAGAAAAGCUAGGACCCGCCCGCUUCCUCCUGUUUAGCUCUCACCUUUCUCUUCUCUCGACUUCUAAGUCUGAUCAAUUCUCAACUCAUCUGGAGCUUGAUUUUUCAAUUCUGUCGAGGUUAAGGCUUUGCUUCGCUUCCAUCGAUCCGCGCCCUACGAUUGAUCUUACCCUAGCUUACUCCCCUAUUCACUCACACCUUCAGACCUCGGUCCCGAUCUGGUCAAUCCAAUCAAUCCAGUCGAUCCUGAAAGCAUUACAUACUUGAUUCUCCUACUCUCAUUCAGUUACUCUUUGAGUCUCUCAUGAAAGAAUGAAAUACCUUUCCGCCUACCCACCCGGAAGUCAAAACCUAUCUUUAUAGAAGGAGGCGCCAUAAGACAGGUCCGAAGGACUAUCCAUUAGGGGAUUGAGAGAGAACUCAAAUCAAAACCGAUGUGAAUUCAGGCUAAAAUCAAGGCUUUUGACUCCUCGCAAUAUUCUUUGCGCCUGUCUGUCCGAAGGACGGGAUAUUCUUGCUAUUACUUUGAAAACAAUGUAGAUGUAGAAAAGAUUCCACAAAUAUUUACGGGAGAGUAGGUAGGUCGGAAGGGGGAAUCUCAGCUCCCUCAAGAGGAAAGGAAUCGUCCGAGGCAGUGGAAGUCUACCUUUCAUCAUCAGAGGCAGAAGUGGUCAGUCGUAGUUGUAGUUCUUCUUUCAGUUGCUUUAGUUCUUCCAGGAGAAGUAGCUUAGUAGUUCGAUCGAUCGGGUGCGGUUAUCAGAAGCUCUCCUGUAGCCGCUCGACUUGAGAGGGUCCCUCUCUCUCCUAUUCACACCGCCUCAAUGGAUCUCUCUUUCUCCGCAACUAAUAUUUCAUUGAGCCUCUCUCAAAUUCUUUGAGCCUUCCGAAAGCAAGAUAAAAGAUAGGAGAGUUGGACAAAGCAAGAACUCAGAUAGAGGAAGAAGACAAAUUAUCCGUUAGAGGAAUGAUCCGUAGAAAGAUUAUCAGCUAGGGAACGGAAAGAGUUGGAGUCUGUAUUCUCUGGAUCGGGUAGAAUCUCCAUUCAGUCCCGUAAAGUAAAGCUGCUGAUUAAGUAAGAAAGGCCGAGUUCCAUAUGAGGGUAGACCGAGUUGGAGCCCUUGCUCCUCUUCCUGUGUGAGGAAGGUUGCCCUUGUUUUGUUCAUUGAGGCGGUUCUUGCUGCUAUAAUAAUAAGAUCAGACUUCUCUUCUUCGAUCGGUAAGCUCCUUAUUCAUGAAAAGGCGGAUUUCUCUUUUUUCUCUAUUUGGGCAAUGCUUCUUGUUAAAGACUCUUUUGUGACUCUGAAAUCAAGGGGUCGAUGAAAUUGACGGAUUGAGCCCACUCCGCGGGAAGAACUUAUCCACGAUCUUACAAUAGACCUGUCAGUAUCCGGACCAUAAACUCAAACUAGAAGUCUGAAUUUCUUUUACCUGUCCUAGGCUUGAUUCUUUCAUUGCAAUUUCCCGGCUUUUUUGCUUCUAAAUGUGACUUUUUUGAAGAUUGAUAUUUAACGAUAAUUGAGUGAAAAAGAAGGCAUUUGACUUGAUUUCUUGCUACUUCCCUAUGGGCAAAACCUAGCAAAAUCAUGUAUUUCCCUCCGUAAAAACAAGGUUAUGAAAUCUGAAUUAUUCUUGAAUUCGAGUUAAUGAGUUAAUUCUUCUUUUCUUUUUUCUUGACUUUUGUGCCAUACCAUAAGACAGGUCCUCCGGACGGUGCAAAGAAUAUUGCGUGGAACUGAAAAGAGCGCGUAGUGGGGAGCAGUUCAUUUAGAGACGACGGAGCACUCCUCUUGAGUCGUUUUCUCCCUUUUCAAAGGAGUCUUAUUCCCCAAAAUAGGAGUAUUCAGAGUAGGAGCAAUGACGAAAGGAUGCAGAUGCUCCCUAGUUGGAAGGUGGGCUUUCUUCUUCUUCUUCUUCUUCCUCUAAUUCAUACUAUAUUACUCUCUUCUUUCUUUGUAUGUAAUUUAG